AGUGAACGCUGGCGGCAGGCCUAAUACAUGCAAGUCGAACGGCAGCACAGCAGAGCUUGCUCUGUGGGUGGCGAGUGGCGGACGGGUGAGGAAUACAUGGGAAUCUGCCCAGUCGUGGGGGAUAACGUAGGGAAACUUACGCUAAUACCGCAUGCGCCCUUCGGGGGAAAGCCGGGGACCUUCGGGCCUGGCGCGAUUGGAUGAGCCCAUGUCGGAUUAGCUAGUUAGUGGGGUAAAGGCCCACCAAGGCGACGAUCCGUAGCUGGUCUGAGAGGAUGAUCAGCCACACUGGAACUGAGACACGGUCCAGACUCCUACGGGAGGCAGCAGUAGGGAAUAUUGGACAAUGGGCGCAAGCCUGAUCCAGCCAUGCCGCGUGUGUGAAGAAGGCCUUCGGGUUGUAAAGCACUUUUAUCCGGAAAGAAAAGCGCUGGGUUAAUACCCUGGUGUCCUGACGGUACCGGAAGAAUAAGCACCGGCUAACUUCGUG
rnacentral:rRNA from 1 species